rnacentral:rRNA from 1 species
CCUUGCAGCCACCAGGCACCAUAGCAUCCAGAAGGCACCCCAGCCUGGAAGCUAAGCAGGGUCAGGCCUAGCUGGGGAUUGAAUGGGAAAGCGCCUGGAAAGACCAGGGGCUGAAAGCU